AUACUUACCUGGCAGGGGAGAUGCCAUGCUCAUGAAGGUGGUUCUCCCAGGGCGAGGCACCCCUGGUGUGCUCCAGAUGAGCUGACCCUGGGAUUUCCCCAAGUGUGAGAAACUUGACCGCAUAGCUUGUGGUGGGGGGUAGGGGUUUGUUUCUCUACCCU